CUGCCCCCUCCCCCCUUUUUUUUUUUUUGCCAAUUCCAUAGCGUCUCGCCAGUUCUGUACCGAAGUUUUUCCGCAAGCUGUCAGGAGCAAAGCGAGGCGCGCCGGCGGCCCCAGCGCUCACCUCGGGGCCUGGCCCAGGGUUCAGAGCCCACGCACCGGGCAGCGCCACCCGGAGGGCCAAGGGGACCCCUAGGCUCCCGGGGAAGGGGCAGGGGGGCGCUCGCCCCAGCCGGGCAGGGCGCGGCCGCGGGGCGGCAGAAAGCAGAAGUUCGUGGUUUCCACUCGCACGCGCAGCCCGCUGCUGGGAAGCGCCCGGCACCCUGCCCUGAUUUGGAAGACUCGCGCUCGCCUCCCCAGCGGUGCUCGGGGCCGCGGGCUCGGCCGGCGGGGGCCCCGCGUCCGGGGAGGGGAAGCGGCGCGGCCCAGCCCGGGAGGCGCUCACACCCGCGCCGCCCGCCCGGGGCCCAGAAAGCCGGAGCCGGUCCGGGCUGCGCCCCGCUCUUCCGGGCGCCAACUGCUGCGCGGGACCGGCCCCAAAAAGCCGAGCCGCGCCGGGCCGGGCCGCGGCCAAGGGCCGGCGCGGAGCUCCGCGGGAGCCCGGACGCUCGCUCCGGCCUCCGCCGCCCGGAGGGCCCGGGUCGGGGAGGGCGCCCAGCGGGGCCCCCUCCGCAGGCCGGCGGGGCUCCCGGGCUCCGGCCCCCGCGGGGCCUCGGUCCCGAGACGCCGGGCGCCUCGCGAGCGCGCGGCCCUCCGUCCCCCCGUCCCCCCGCGGCGUCGGGCCUGGCCCCUUACCUGGCUCCGGGCCGGGCGCGAGCAGCAGCCGGGGGCGCCGGGGCCCCGCGCGCGGCGAGGGCAGGGACGGCGAGCGGGGGUCAGGAGGACGGCGGCCCGCGCGCUCCCACGCUUCCGCCGAGUCAGGAGUUGAACAUUCCGCCUCUGCGCCCCGCGCCAAUGAGGAAGACAGUCGCGGCAACAGCACCACCUACCUCCGAGCGCGGAACGGCGGGGCCUGCCUGCCCGCGCCCGCACGCCCGCCGGCCCCGCCGCGGCGCACACGAGCCGGCCAGCGGGCCGGCGCCGCCGAGGGGCCCCGUGCGCCCCCGCGCCCCGGAACCCACCCAGGCCGCCGCCCGGGGGCGCUGUGCGGGGCGCGCCUGUCCUCAAACGGCACCUGCUCUCCCGCGGGGGCAGGGGAGAGGGCGGUACGGCUCUGCGCCUUUGUACCUUCACAGCUUCUUAACAGGUUACCACCACCUAUUGCAUCAACUCAUCCUUAUCAACAAACACUCUGAAUUAGGCGCUGUGGGUACAAAAUGA
rnacentral:lncRNA from 1 species